AAGAAACUUAAGUAACUAUGGCAGAAUAUACAUGCGGUAAGGAAAUUUACUGAAGGAAAAAGUCACCUCUGCCUGGGAUAGGGGAUUAGUUUUUAAAGGGAUGCCUAAAGGAAAUACAGCCUUAAAUUGCUCCUAUGCCUUGGUUGAUAGAUAUUUGUUUACUUAGGAGAUUCUGGCUAAGAGCGCUUAGGUGGUCCUUUCCUGAAAUUAUUUGGAAAUAUUUAUUUUAUUGUAUAUUUGUGUGUUUUGAGGGGGUAGAAAAAUUCUGUUCCCUAUUAUCAGAUGCUGCCAGGGAUCUGUGACCCAAAACAGAAAAAUAGCCACUGCUUUUACAAUCCAAGAUGUACAGUUU
rnacentral:lncRNA from 1 species